ACCCCCUCCUUGUGGGCUGUAUUCUUUUGCUUACACACACAGCAUCUGCUUCUGUCCUUGGGCCACUGGCAGUCAGACUGUGUCUUUCUCCUGACUACAGAUUCUGCCAUAUGGGGUACAGUGUGGCCUUGGACAAGCCACAUGGUUCUCUCCCAGACUCCGUUUCCAGGUUCCUGUAGAUGACAGACUGUGAGACGCAGUUUGGAAGGACUGGAGAUAUUGGAGGUCAGGAUUUCAUGCUUCGGGGCCGCGGCAGGCGUGAGAGGAUGGACGGAAGCCAUCUCCUUGUCGCUUACUUCUGGAUUAUAGUACAGUUAGGCACGGGGGGGGGGGGGGGGCUUUCCCCCCAUUGCUUGAGAGCUACUUCCUGCCACACCUGGGGCUGCACACUGGAUUUUGACCCCGUACAUUUGCUCAGAGCAGGAGCGUGGAAGACGAGCAAGCCUCCCUGCAGACUGAAGAUAAAUUCCACUGGAAGGACACGGAGUCGAUGUGCCUUGCAAUCUGAUUGGCUCUAACCAUCAAAAGCCUGUGGGUCCCAGGGGUCCAACCCAGGGGGGUCAUCAGGCGUCUUGUGUGUCUGGAAUCACUCCCUUCUUUGCUGAGGUCCUCUAGGAAGAGGAGGGGACCGGUCUUCUUUA